AACCACCUACUCUUUGUCUUUAACUAAUUAACAAUUCUUAAUCCAUUUGAAUUCGGACACAAAAAAGGAUUAAACAAUGACUGCAUUACUUACCAUGCACCCGUCCUGCCUAAUUCAAAUUGUUAAAUGCAAAUUGCAAUAUAUAAGUCAUGUACGUGUGAAUGGGAUUAAUAUUUCCUCAAUUAUUAUUAGGGGCUCUAUUAUUAUGUAGUGUGAGUGAGGAUUGAAACUUGAAGGACGUUGUUCUUCGCAUGUCCCACAACCACAAAUAUUCUUCAUGGCCUGGCAAUUCCCAAAUCAAUGCAAUCUAAAGACAACAACGCCUCCAUGAUUGCAUCUAUAAAAAUAAAAAGGGAUUGUCGCCAUUGGGGUGGGGUGGUUGUGGUGGGUGGCGGUUGAGGUCAAGUGGGUGGUUGUUGCGUUUUAUCUUUUUCUUCAAUUUUGAGUUUUUUUAUUUAUAAAUAAUUUGAUUCAAAGUUAAUAAUGUUUUGUGGCAUGUUAAGUGAGGACACAUGUCAACAAAAUAAAAAGGAAAUAGGUGGGAACAGGAGAAAUGGAAACAUGAAAAUUGAACUCAAUAGAAAGAGGGGGAGAGAUGGAAAGUGACGAAAGGAAGAAGAAGAUGGGAAAAAAAAAAUAAAAAAAAUGAAGGUAUUGGGAGAGAUGAGAUAUGGGGAGAACAAAAAUUACAAAAGAAAGAAAAAGAGGGGUUGGUUUGGGUGCAUUUUCAGAUGCACAUGCAUGCUCU
rnacentral:lncRNA from 1 species